rfam:Ovis aries breed Texel chromosome 10, whole genome shotgun sequence.
UCCCUGGUGGCUCAGAGGUUAAAGCAUCUGCCUGCAAUGCAAGAGACCUGGGUUCGAUCCCUGGGUUGGGAA